AGAGUUUGAUCAUGGCUCAGGAUGAACGUUGGCGGUGUGCCUAAUACAUGCAAGUCGAACGGAGCUAAUAGCAAUAUUGGCCUAGUGGCGAACGGGUGAGUAACGCGUUGGUGAUCUGCCUUGAAGUGUGGAAUAACGUUUCGAAAGGAACGCUAAUACCGCAUGUGCUCUCGAUUUUCAGAAAGUUGAGAGUAAAGGAUUUAUUCGCUUCAAGAGGAGCCUGCGUCCCAUCAGCUGGUUGGUAGGGUAACGGCCUACCAAGGCUAUGACGGGUAGGGGACCUGAGAGGGUGGCCCCCCACAAUGGAACUGAAACACGGUCCAUACACCUACGGGUGGCAGCAGUAGGGAAUAUUAGAAAUGGACGAAAGUCUGAUCUAGCAACACCGCGUGUGCGAAGAAGGCCUUCGGGUCGUAAAGCACUUUUUGGAAGGAAUAGGAAGGAAUGUACUUCCAGAAUAAGUCUCGGCUAACUACGUGCCAGCAGCCGCGGUAACACGUAGGAGGCGAACGUUAUCCGGAUUUACUGGGCGUAAAGCGCGUGUAGGUGGUUCUGUAAGUAGGGCGUGAAAGCUCCUGGCUCAACUGGGAGAGGCCGUUCUAAACUACAGAGCUAGAGGAUGGUAGAGGGAGGUGGAAUUCCAGGUGUAGCGGUGGAAUGCGCAGAUAUCUGGAGGAACACCAGUGGCGAAGGCGGCCUCCUGGACCAUUCCUGACACUCAGACGCGAAAGCUAGGGUAGCAAACGGGAUUAGAGACCCCGGUAGUCCUAGCCCUAAACGAUGUAGACUAGGCGUCGGAAGUUUAAUCACUUUCGGUGUCCAAGCUAACGCGAUAAGUCUACCGCCUGGGGACUACGGCCGCAAGGUUAAAACUUAAAGGAAUUGACGG
rnacentral:rRNA from 1 species